GUCUUUUUGAGAUUUAAUUUAAAGUCUGACCUGCCCAUUGAAAUAAUUAAAAGGCCGCAGUAUUUUGACUGUGCAAAGGUAGCAUAAUCAUUAGUUUUUUAAUUGAAAACUUGUAUGAAUGGUUGAAUGAGAUAUAAGCUGUUUCAUAAAAAUUUAAUUAAAACUUUAUUUUUUAGUUAAAAAGCUAAAAUGUAAUUAAAAGACGAGAAGACCCUAUAAAGUUUUAUAAUUAUUUAUUAAUUUAUUUAUAUGAUUUUUUUAAAAUUUAUUAAAAAAAAUUAUUUUGUUGGGGUGAUAAUAAAAUUUAAAAAACUUUUAUUGUUUAAAACAUUAAUUUAUGAUAUGAUGAUCCUUUAUUAAAGAUUAAAAAUUUAAAUUACUUUAGGGAUAACAGCGUAAUUUUUUUUUUAAGUUCAAAUUUAUAAAAAAGUUUGCGACCUCGAUGUUGGAUUAAAAUUUAUUUUAGGUGUAGCAGUUUAAAUAUUAAGUCUGUUCGACUUUUAAAAUUUU
rnacentral:rRNA from 1 species